CCGCCACAAAUCCUGAAGACGCGACCGAUCGCGAUGAAGGGACCGGCCAAGGGGACCAGGCAGCUGGACAACCCAAAAGGCAACGCAAGCGUAGGCGCCGAAACAUGCUUGGCACCAAUAGGAUUGUUAUCAACCGAGUGUCUGAGGUGGGUCUACCUGUUAGGCCUCAUUCGGUUUGGAGGAUUUUUAUAGGAAAAACAUGGGAACAAGGAUUCCAGAGGAAAAUUUCCUAUAUAUGCAUUCGGUUUGUAGGAAAUGCGUAAAGGAAUUUCAUAGGAAUACUAUUCAUUUCCUAUGCUUUUGGAGGAAACUACACAUCCACUCAAAGCUCAUUUUGUGCGUAGGAACGAGGCAAGUCAAUUCCUUAGGGUGGCAAGUGCCAUCCUAUCAAAUUCCUAUGCUACUCCAAAUUCCUACGUUUAGAUUUCCUCCAAACCGAAUGAGCCCUUAGUCCCAAGAAGGCCGAACAAGGUUACAGGAAUGCCCUAGGCUGCAUCCUUCGCGAAACCGUGAGCAUUAACGAAACCAAUCUCAGGUCGAAAGCGAACUAGAAUUUGCGAGCGCUCCUCAUAUCGAAGCUGCACACUCAUUACAAGUUCCCGGAUGAGUCCCUAGACGAGACCACUCCGGUAAAUAACACAGCCCUCUGCAAGUGGACCAAGCUUUUGAGUACAUGGAAAUCCAAAGCCAAAAGCGAAUACCUUGAGAAAGAUUACGAAACCGAGAUAAAAAAGAAGUGGCCUUCGGUUUCUGAGGAGGACUGGAACCUGUUCAAGCAGCACUGCGAGACCCCUGAAGUCAAGGAGAUGGAAAAAUGGGGGAAGGAAAUGCGGGCAAGGAACAUUGGUCACCACACCCUUGGAAGCCGUGGUUACCUAGGGAAGAAGCCGAAGUGGGACAAGCAGGACGCUGAGUUUGCUGCAGCAGGCAACUAUCCUGUCAUGGUGCCAGAGACGAGGAGUAGGAGGGUCCACGCAUCGGAGACCGUGUUGUCCUCGGCGCAGUGCCCUCGACUCACGCGCGCUGGAAGCAGGGUGGAUGUGCCGACCAGUGGCCGCUCCGGUAAGUACAAGACUCUCUAGUUCCACAUCGGUAGUUAACCGUCGAGUAGAUAGUUCUUCGAAUAAAGGCAUGAAUAACCCAAGAGCAAUCCAAUCCCAUAAAAGGGGCAUUUUUAUACAUGGUUGGAAAUUCUCAUGCGUAUAGUAAUGUACCGAAGAGGUAUUGAGGUCUUGACACACGAACACGUCACGUAUACCCUCGACGCCGGGGGUGAUGCACCACAGCUCACGUCGAAGGAGACCCGACCGACAGCGCGAUACGCAAGACAGUCGACGGGCGCUUUUGCAGACCCGAAAACCCCACACCCCUGGGAGGGACCCCGUCAGGGAGUGCGGCGGCUAUGGGUUGCCGUAGGUCGAUUCGCUCGCCCCUAGAGCCUCGGGAUUCGCAGCUCUCAAACACGAAGAACAACAAAUAACGAGAUAGAAAAACGGUGGAGAGAUAAAACGUAGAUGAAAAAGUAGUAUAUUGAUUUGUUCGAUUGUGUGUUGUUCAAUCGGCCAUCACCCCCAACAUAUAUAAGAGGCGGCUGGACUUUCCGUACAAGUAAAGGAUUCAUCUAGGCUUUUCUUACAAGAAAAAAUUAUAUCAAUUCACGUCCUAGAGUCCUAAUUAUAUUCCAACUCGGAUUAAGUCUGAAUCUGGCCCAAACUCUGUCUUCCUUCUUGUGCGGGCCACCGGGCUUGCAUAUGAUCUCCGAUCAAGACGGCCCACAUAUCAAACUCGUGUGCCUCGACGAUACGAACAACUCUCAUGUUGAUCACUUCUUCAAAUAAGGCCAUCUUGAAUACUUUUCGAGGUCAUCUUUAUCUUCCAGUCGGACUUGGUCUUGCGGUAGACUGGAUUAUCCGAGUCUCAUAGUGAAUUUGUAGGCCAUAUACUAUCUCUGAUGAUGACGACUCCAAAAUCAAAGUUUACCAUCUUGAUGAUACGCACAACUUCUGUAUUGAACACUUCUUCAUCCGAGGUCAUCUUGAUAAACUUUCAGGCAUAUGUUCAAUUUCACUCGGAUCCGAGCUCAUCCACUCGGAGUCAUUCACUUGGAUCGUCUGACUGGACUUUUCACUCGGAUGUUUAGAGUUUUUCACUCGGAAUACAAUUUUCACUCGGAAUAUUUUCACCUGGAGGACAAUGUCACUCAGAUGACCAUAAUUCCACUCGGAUGACUAUAUUUUCACUCGACCGUAAACUUUCACUCGGACGGUAAACUUUUUACUCGGAAUAUUUUCACCUGGAGGACAAUGUCACUCGGAUGACCAUAUUUCCACUCGGAUGACUAUAUUUUCACUCGACCGUAAACUUUCACUCGGACGGUAAACUUUUCACUCGGAUUUUCCAGCUGAAAACAUAGCUUGAUCUUGAUUUGUCUCUCCAGGCCUCAUACGACCUCGGAUUGAGAUGAAUUAUAUACGAAAAUCGAUCGGCUCGAUGAGACGAAACUUUUCCGUGUUGAAGGUUUUUCAAUUCAAGGCCGUCUUGAAGGCCGAAUUGCUCACGCAUUGCAUCAGACAUUCAUCAACAUGUGUCUGGUGUCAAGCGUAAUAUUUUGGUCUCUGGCCUGUCCAGACCGUAUUGACUAUAACUUUUGCAUAUGACCUCGGAUUGAGACAAAUUAUAUAUGAAAAUUGAUCGUAUCGACGAGACGAAGACAAUUCAUUUAGAGCACUCCUUCAUCUAAGGUCAUAUUGAGGACGUAAUCGGCCGAAAAACACUCAAAACAUUAAAUUUUGUCACUCGGAGUACAGCUUCGGCCACUGAGAUGAGGUCGAAUGGCGAUAGCCUAAACAUCAAAGUCGUUCCACUCGACGAUAUGAAACUUUCUCAUGCUGAAAACCCUUUCACUCUGUAUCAUGCCAAAAUCAGGUGUCAACACAUGCCCCCCUGUUUUUCGGCAAAGCUUGCAUGCCGAAAAAUAAUAUGCAUGGUGUUCGUUCUAAGGACGAUGUCAACACUCCAUCGGCCAUUUAUUUUUCUCAGGGCGAUAAUUAUGUAUCGGCCAUGUUUGUGCUAAGGGCGAUAAUUGUAUAUCGGCCAUUGCCUACUUAGGCUUCCUGCCACACACUCGGGUGGUAUUUCUUCAAAUAUUUGCCAUUGAGAGCUCGAGGUAACAAUGCCCCCUGUUUUGAUUCCACCAAAUAUGAAUUUCCGGGAACAACUCUUGUAAUCCUAAAAGGACCUUCCCAACUUGGAGACCACUUCCCGAAUUUUCUAUCUCUUGAACCAAUCGGCAAAAUCACUUUCCAGACGAGAUCACCAACUUGAAAAUUCUUCAACUUGACUUUCUUAUUGUAAGCUCUUGCCACCCUCAACUUAUCUCUCUCUAUGGCCUUUAAAGCAACCAAACGUUUAUCGGCAACCUCAUCAAUAUUGUCCAUCAUUAAGUUAUAAAAGUCUACUGCCGAUAAAUCAUUUUGUUUGGCUAUUCUCAAAGCAUUCAAAUUUACCUCCACUGGUAAAACAGCCUCUUGACCAUAUACUAGCUCAUAUGGAGUCACCUUCGUAGCACCAUGCCUUGAAAUUCUAUGUGCCCAUAAAGCUUCAGACAACAACUCAUGCCAUUUCCUUGGAUUAUCCUCAAUCUUCCUCUUGAUGAGUUUGAUUAAAAUUUUAUUGCUAGACUCGGCUUGUCCAUUAGCUUGGGCAUAAUACGGAGAGGAAUUGAGCAAAUUUAUAUUAUAAGAUUCGGCAAACUCUCUUACUUGGUGUGACAUAAAAGAUGAACCUUGAUUUGUAGUUAACGUUUGAGGAAUACCGAAUCUAUGAAUAAUGUGCUCGGUUAUGAAUUGAAUUACCUCCGUAUGUGUCAUGUUCUUGAGAGGUACUGCUUCAGACCAUUUAGUGAAAUAAUCAGUUGCCACCAACACGAACCGAUGCCCCUUUGAGGAAGAUGGAUGAAUUUGCCCAAUAAAGUCUAAACCCCAUCCUCUGAAAGGCCACGGCUUGAUAAUAGGAUGCAACAUAGCAGCAGGAGUCAAUUGAAUAUCACCAAAUUUUUGACAAGCUUCGCACCCUUUAUAAUAUCUGAAGCAAUCGUUAAUCAUGGUCGGCCAAUAAAACCCAGCACAUCGUAAUAACCAUUUCAUCUUGGGAGACGACUGGUGAGUACCACAAAUGCCCUCAUGUACCUCUCCCAUAGCAACUCUUGCUUGGUCCUCAUCCAAGCACUUUAAAAGAACAUCAUCAACUGUUCGGCGAUAAAGGUCACCAUCCCUCAUAGUAUAUUUGAAAGCCAUACGCCGAACAGCCCUGUCCACCCUUUCACUCGGAUUGCGCAAGUAAGCAACAAUAGGCUUCCUCCAGUCGGAAUUGUCAUCUGCACUAGAUUUUUUGUUAAUGACCGAAUCAGUGGGUUCUGGUUCGGCCUCUUCUAUACUGGUAAGACAAGACAUCGGACUUUGAGAAAUAUGAAACAUGCCAUGAUCAACAUGAUAUCCAGAUGCUUGCUGUGCCAACUCAUUUGCUUUCCAAUUGUCAUGUCUAGAUAUAUGUGCAAUGCUAAAACAAUCCAAAGUAGAAAUUAUAUCUAGACAUCUAUCAAGAUAAACAUUAAGUGAUUCGUCCAAACACUGAAAGACAUUAGAUAUUUGCUGCACUACUAGUAACGAAUCACCGUAAGCCUCAAUAUGCGUAACACCUAUAGCAAGUAACAUCUCUAGGCCGAAUAACAAUGCUUCAUAUUCGGCUUGAUUGUUUGUGCAAAAAUAUUCUAAGCGGCAUGAGGCUUCAAAAAUAGCACCAUGAGGAGAUAUAUAAACAAUACCAACACCUUGGCCAUUGCUACAAACUGAACCAUCAAAGUAUAAUCUCCAUGGCACUAAUGAAACAAGGUUCAUAUCAUCAUCAUUCUUGUCAUUAAUCCGAUGCUCAACAAUGAAAUUAGCAACAAUUUGGCCUUUCAUGGAUUUUAGAGAUUCAUAAGCCAAAUCAUAUUCAAUCAAAGCAUAAGCCCACUUGCCAAUUCUACCACUAAGAAUUGGCCUAUGCAACAUGUAUUUAAUGACAUCGGUUUGACAAGCUACUACACAAGCACUUGGCACUAAAUAAUGUCUCAGUUUUGUACAAGCAUAAUAUAAGCAUAGACAUAAUUUCUCAAUAAAUGUAUACCUUGUCUCUGCGUCCAAUAAGCGGCGGCUCAAAUAAGUGAUGGCAUGCUCUUUUCCUUCGGUCUCUUGAGUUAGAACAGCACCAAUAACUCCUUCCUCUACUGCAAUGUAAAGUCUGAAGGGUUCCCUAUGCUUGGGUGCUCUCAUCACCGGAGGAGUGCACAAAUAAUUCUUGAUCAUAUCAAAUGCUUCUUGCUGUUUUGCCCCCCAAGUGAAAUUAGUAUCAUUCUUUAACCGAAGGAUAGGAGUAAAUGCAUCAACUUUCCCUGACAGAUUAGCUAUGAACCUUCUCAAAUAAUUGACCUUGCCAAGGAACUUUUGCAUAUCUCUCUUGCAUGUUGGAGCCUCCACUUUCUGUAUAGCCUCUAUCUUUUUGGGAUCAAUCUCUAUGCCAUCUUCAUGAAUAAUGAAACCCAAAAACUUGCCAGCUGACACGCCAAAAGCACACUUCAAAGGAUUCAUCUUCAGUCCAUACGUUUUCAUUCUUUCAAAAGCUAAACGCAAAUCGGCCAAGUGAGAUUCAAAAGCAUCCGAUUUGACAACAAUAUCAUCAAUAUAAACUUCAAGUAUGAUACCGAGUAAAUCAUAAAAAAUCAAAUUCAUAGCCCUUUGAUAUGUGGCUCCAGCAUUUUUUAAUCCGAAUGUCAUCACUGUCCACUCGAAUAAACCAAGGAAACCAGGGCAUCGAAAAGCAGUCUUGUACAUGUCCUCUUCGGCCAUAAAAAUUUGAUUGUAUCCGGCAUUACCAUCUAGAAAGCUAAUAACCUUAUGCCCAGAAGCAUCAUUAAUAAGCAUAUCGGCUAUUGGCAUAGGAUACUCAUCUUUGGGUGUAGCCCUAUUCAAAUCUCUGAAAUCAAUGCACACUCUCAACUUGCCGGAUCCUUUCUUCUCCACUGGGACAAUGUUAGAAAUCCACUCGGCGUACCUGCAAGGUCGAAUGAAAUUAGCUUCAAGCAAUCGACCGAUCUCUUCCUUGAUCCGGUCAUAUGUUUUUGGAUUAAAUUUUCUGGCCGAUUGUUUAUAAGGUCUAAAACCGGCCUUUAUAGACAACCGAUGCUCCACUAGCUCUCGGCUUAACCCUGGCAUCUCAUGAUAUUCCCAUGCAAAGCAACAAACAUAUUCUUUCAGUAGCUCGAUUAACUUAGCCUUACAAUCGGCUUUUAAAUUUUUGUUUAUAAAUGUCGGUCGAGUGACUGAACCAUUUCCAAUAUUUACUUCUUCUAACGGAUCGGCUGAUGUAAAACCUUGUCCAAGUUUAUCCAUGUCAUCCAACUCCUCUAUAGACUCAUACAUAUCGUUCUCAUUGGACCGAUACUUUACAAGACGUUUUUGUAACCACUCGGAAUUAGGAUCCAUUUAAACAUAUCAUACAUUGGAGCCGAUUGCAUUCACUCAGCUUUAAAGAGACAGGCACAAAACCAUUCUUGGUCGCGCUGAGAAAAUCAAAUUCUGAUAAGUCACGUCCCGUCAAGCAAGUAGCGUUGGGAUGUUGCCAAUCCACCGAUGCAUCGGCCAAAUCAACACAGGCCGAGUUAUCCGCGUGAAUAACUUCCACUUCAUCAUCAACCCACUAAAUCAAAAACUGGUGCAUAGUGGAUGGCACGCACUGGUUUGCAUGAACCCAAUCACGGCCUAGUAUGACGUUGUAGUUACUUUGCACCUCAGCGACAAAGAAUGCAGUAGCCAAAGUUUUGCUUCCGACUGUAAGCUCCACAUACAUCACACCUUUGGCUUCAGUUUUCUCUUUGCCUUCAAAUCCAUUGAGCACCAUAUUGGUCUUGAUCAAUUCUUCAUCAGGCAAACCCAAUCUCUUGAAUACCGAAUAGGGCAUAAGAUUUACCACAGCACCACCAUCAACAAGCAUCCGAGUGAGCGGCGAUCCAUUGAUAUGACCUCUAAGAUAUAAUGGUUUCAGAUGCGUUACUGGUUCUUGUGGCUUCUCGAAUAUUGCGUUUUUAGGGCCAAAAUCCAGCUGAGCCACCUCCCCUUCUUCAUCUACAGCACGAAACUCAGCAGGUAAGUAAUACACCAUAUUGAUAUCCAUACCUUCAUGAACCGGCGUAGACUCAUAGUCCAACAUAUCAGCCUCCUCUUCGAGUGCAUCCACCGAUUCUGAAAUUUGUCCGAGUGAAGGAGAAGUCAGAAGUGUCACAGACGAUGUGAUAUCUGUUGCAUCGUCCUCCUUUGGUGAUGUAGGUGUUGCUGUGAUAGAUGUAGAAGCUAUUGUAUCUUUUAUUUGUUUAGGCCUCCACACUUGUUUUGCUGGAACCAUGGGUCGAGUGUCAUUGAACAACUUAUCCCUUUGUUUCUCGGCCUCCUUUUCUGCCAUCUCUUGACUCCUUAACCUCUGUAGUUUCCUCUUUUGUGUCUUUGUUAGCCCUGGAGGACACCACUUUGGCUGAGUGUAUUUAGGAUCUCUCGUUUUUACCUGGCUGGUGCUUGCUUCAUGGUCAUUGGCCGAGUGCUUUGGCGCGAUAGCAAGUAUCGGCUCAGUCGGAUUGCUAUGCACAAUCGGCUGUUGUAUGGCGAAUGUUUCGGUGCCCAAGAUAAGUGAGUCGGCAUCCAUUUUCUCCUUGCCUUUUGCCGACUCAAUUGCUGCAACACUUGGUGAUUUAACACGCCAUUCUUUUCGACUUUCCAGAUGCAUGAAAUUUCCACUCGAGCGCACCUUUUUACUCGGAUGGAAUCCACUCGGAUGGAAUUCACUCGGAUGACUUCCACCUGGGUGCAUUCUUACACUCGGAUAAUUUCCACUCGGUCGCAUAUUUUGACCAGCCGACUGAUAGUCACCGAUGUUGAGUCGGCCAUUAUAUGAGUAGUCAAGUCGAUCCCAAACAGAUUGCGUAUACUCUCCUGGAAAUUGCGCCCUUGGUCCACUCGGUUUUGUAUACUGACUGAACAUAUCAGCUGAUGGUGACCUUGGUCGUUUCAGAUGAGUCGGUCGAUUGAAACUAGAACCGGCCGAGUGGUUAGCAUACUUGGACAACAACAUAUCAAAAGUUGGCUUGAUCUGCUUGCGUUGCACUUUAGCUUCAUUCUUCUUCCACUUGCCAACUUCCGGACUCUUGGGCUUGACAAAUUUAACACGAGCAUUUUCUUGCACUUGCGGUUGCCCCCCGAGUGUAGGGUUCUUGAUGGUGAUUUUGAUCACUUCCUUGCCAUCGGGUUGCUUAUCAAGCACAACUUGUCUCCCCAAGACCUUGUUGUCCUCCUUGUCUUUCCUGGGCUCACCAACAAUGACAUUAGCUUUAUUAGCAGAUUCGGCUACCUCCGGCCGAAUGAGUAGUUUCUUCCCCUCCAAACCCAUGGUAUUCAUUGGAAAAGGUUGUUUAUCAACUUGCAUCUCAGAAAAGUUCAAUCGUCCGUCAUUAAUGGCCGAUUGUAUCUGUCGUUGAAAAACAUUGCAAUCGUUAGUAGCAUGAGAAAAAGAAUUAUGAUACUUGCAAUAAGCACGCCGUUUUAGCUCUUCAAACGGCGGUAAAGUAUGAGAUAUUCUAAUAAUCUUAGCCUGCAACAGAGCAUCAAAUAUUCUAUCACACUUAGCAAUGUUAAAAGUAAACUUCAUAUCUUCAUCACGAUUCUUAUGAAUCGGUUUCAGAUCAUUGCAAGUAAAGGGUUUGGCUUUAGAUGGCCAAACAAAUUCAGUAGAAAAAACAUCACCCCCAUCAUCCGAGUGAUCACUGUCAUAUUCCACCAUAUUCAUCUUUGGACGAUCGGCUUUGUACCUAUGCACUUCUUUGAGGUCUUUGCUUCGGCUUUCCUGAGCCAAAGCCCUUUGUAAGACUUGGUUGAUAUUUAAGAACUCGUAGCCUUCUAGUUUUUCUCUAAUGGGAGUUCUCAAACCACUCAGCACUAGGUCUGCCAAGUCCCUCUCGGUUAUCACCAAACUAAAACACCGGUUUUUUGUUUCUCUGAAUCUCUUGACGUAAUCGGAGACCGAUUCAUCAUGCUUCUGUUUAACCGAUGUUAGAUGUGACAACUUGAGUUCAUUGUCGCCACUAUAAAAGUGAUCAUGAAACUUCUGCUCUAGCUGCGACCAAACCCGAAUGGAACCAUGGGGUAAAGAAGAAAACCAUGAAAAUGCGGUACCAGUUAAUGAUAAAGGAAAUAAACGCACUUUCAAUUCAUUCAAUGAGCCUGCCUCACCCAAUUGUGCUAAAUAUUGACUAACAUGCUCCCAUGUGGUUUUUGUGCCUUCUCCAUUAAAUUUAACAAAAUCUGGAAUUUUAUAUCCUGGAGGGCACUGGAUGGCAUCAAAGUACUCGGGGUACGGCUUUUGGUAAAUCCGAUUCCGAGGUAACUCAACUCCAAAAUUCUCUCGAAGCAUUUUAGCCAUCUCCUCUCUAAGAUUAGCUAGACCAUCAUCCAUAGUGGACGAUGAAGCUUGUGGCAGUGGCAUAGGAGGAGCAGGGUUACUAGCUGUAGGUAGGAAUUGUGGCAUGUACGUCGACCCAUAAUUUGGUAAUGGUCGAGUGGAUGUAGCUGUAGGUAGGGUUUGGUUCGGCGUUGCCACCGAACCUGGCAUACUCAUAAUAGGAUUAAUGGGUGCAACCACAAUCUGAUUUGUUUGGGUAGGAUAAUAAGUCAUCGGCACGGGAGGCGCCGAUGAGAUGGGCAAAGACAGAUUAGGGUUUUGCACACUAGCAGCUACACCACCAUUACCACUAGACGAUUGAGAUAUAUUCUUCUGAGCAUUAGUAUUUUCUAUGAAAGUUUGAUAGACUAGAUUGUUACCAUCAGCAAUACGACUUUCAAUCUCAGCCCACUGCUUAGGAGAAAAGGCAGUACUUACAGAAGGUUUAACCUGUUCAGUUUGAAGAGGAGGGAACUUGAUUUCUUCAAUCGGAGUGAUGUUGCCUUGGCGAUCUUUCUUGAAUUUUGCAAGGAACUCCUGCAGGUCCUUCUCCUCGCGUGCCUUCUUUUACUCCUCAUAAACUUGGCGAUGAUCGGCCGAUAUCUCAUCAAGACUGGGCUUAAUGAUGUUAUCGGCGUCUACCUCAGAUGGCUUGGGAAUAUCAGACAUGGUGGAUGAUGACGAUUGAUCUUCGUUCCCCAGCGGAGUCGCCAAAAAGUGUGUUGACACACGAACACGUCACGUGUACCCUCGACGCCGGGGGUGAUGCACCGUAGCUCACGUCGAAGGAGACCCGACCGACAGCACGAUACGCAAGACAGUUGACGGGCGCUUUUGCAGACCCGAAAACCCCACACCCCCGGGAGGGACCCCGUCAGGGAGUGCGGCGGCUAUGGGUUGCCCUAGGUCGAUUCGCUCGCCCCUAGAGCCUCGGGAUUCGCAGCUCUCAAACACGAAGAACAGCGAAGAACGAGAUAGAAAAACGGUGGAGAGAUAAAACGUAGAUGAAAAAGUAGUAUAUUGAUUUGUUCGAUUGUGUGUUGUUCAAUCGGCCAUUACCCCCAACAUAUAUAAGAGGCGGCUGGACUUCCCGUACAAGUAAAGGAUUCAUCUAGGCUUUCCUUAUAAGAAAAAAUUACAUCAAUUCACGUCCUAGAGUCCUAAUUAUAUUCCAACUCGGAUUAAGUCUGAAUCUGGCCCAAACUCUGUCUUCCUUCUUGCGCGGGCCACCGGGCUUGCAUAUGAUCUCCGAUCAAGAUGGCCCAAAUAUCAAACUCGUGUGCCUCGACGAUACGAACAACUCUCAUGUUGAUCACUUCUUCAAAUAAGGCCAUCUUGAAUACUUUUCGAGGUCAUCUUUAUCUUCCAGUCGGACUUUGUCUUGCGGUAGACUGGAUUAUCCGAGUCUCGUAGUGAAUUUGUAGGGCAUAUACUAUCUCUGAUGAUGACGACUCCAAAAUCAAAGUUUACCAUCUUGAUGAUACGCACAACUUCUGUAUUUAACACUUCUUCAUCCGAGGUCAUCUUGAUAAACUUUCAGGCAUAUGUUCAAUUUCACUCGGAUCCGAGCUCAUCCACUCGGAGUCAUUCACUUGGAUCAUCUGACUGGACUUUUCACUCGGAUGUUUAGAGUUUUUCACUCGGAAUAUAAUUUUCACUCGGAAUAUUUUCACCUGAAGGACAAUGUCACUUGGAUGACCAUAAUUCCACUGGGAUGACUAUAUUUUCACUCGACCGUAAACUUUCACUCGGACGGUAAACUUUUUACUCGGAAUAUUUUCACCUGGAGGACAAUGUCACUCGGAUGACCAUAUUUCCACUUGGAUGACUAUAUUUUCACUCGACCGUAAACUUUCACUCGGACGGUAAACUCUUCACUCGGAUUUUCCAACUGAAAACAUAGCUUGAUCUUGAUUUGUCUCUCCAGGCCUCAUACGACCUCGGAUUGAGAUGAAUUAUAUACGAAAAUCAAUCGGCUCGACGAGACGAAACUUUUCCGUGUUGAAGGUUUUUCAAUUGAAGGCCGUCUUGAAGGCCGAAUUGCUCACGCAUUGCAUCAGACAUUCAUCAACAUGUGUCUGGUGUCAAGCGUAAUAUUUUGGUCUCUGGCCUGUCCAGACCGUAUUGACUAUAACUUUUGCAUAUGACCUCGGAUUGAGACAAAUUAUAUAUGAAAAUCGAUCGUCUCGACGAGACGAAGACAAUUCCUUUAGAGCACUCCUUCAUCUAAGGUCAUAUUGAGGACGUAAUCGGCUGAAAAACACUCGGAACAUUAAAUUUUGUCACUCGGAAUACAGCUUCGGCCACUGAGAUGAGGUUGAAUGGCGAUAGCCUAAACAUCAAAGUCGUUCCACUCGACGAUAUGAAACUUUCUCAUGCUGAAAACCCUUUCACUCUGUAUCAUGCCAAAAGUCAGGUGUCAACAUGAGGAAGCUACGUAUUCUCUGGCAGUGUGGUUAGUGGUGCUUAUAGCAUCAAGGAGGGGUCCUAUGUAUGAAUAUGUAUUGGUAUUUAUAUCAUUAAGUCAAGCCCUUGUGUCACACAGAAUUUGCUGGGCACGCAAGGUCGGCUGGUCUGUGCUUUUUGUAAGUGAUGGUGCUCCCGAGUCAGUUGAAAACGUGGACUCUAGAUUUUCUUUAAGCUAACAAAUUUUCAUGAUCUAUAUUCAGAAGUAUAUGUUCUACUGAAAUGCCCAAUUGAUGGUGUUUCUACAGGUCAGGUUAAUGAGGAUGUCGAGAGCAGAUUCCAGCAUUUGGCAAGUUCAGUACACAAUGAUGUUAUGCAGUUAAAGGCAGCGAACGGAGAGGACGAGGGAGGCGUGCACAUCCAAGACCUUGUUGUCGUCGUUCCGCGAAUGACGAGGAGGAGGGCGAGGGAGGCAUGCGCGUUGGAGACUGCGUUGCCGUCGUUGCAGCGCACUCAACUCACACGCGGUGGAAGCAGGGGGGAGGCCCCGACCAAUGGCCGCUCCGGUAAGUGGAAGACUGUACUACCACUGUAAAUAAAUCUUUUUAGUCCCGCAUUGCAUCGGUAGUAGUAAUCACCAAAUAGAUUACCUAGAGACCUGUAGCUGUACACUGGUAGAGGUGUAGGCAUAGAUGUCUAGGGUUACAGGGUGACAAAAAACCAACUCACAUGGAGGCGUCACUAGAUUGUAAGUCCCCCCCUAAUUCGUACUUUUGGUGAAAAGGGCUAUCAUAACUGCUGCUAGUUAUUUCCUCAGGAGUUAUCCAGAAAAUCUCUUGCAAUGAGAUUAUCUAGUUCAUGAUUAGGUCCCACUACUUGAAGCUGUAGAUAAAUCUUCAACUAAAGAUAUGGACAUGACAAGUCUUAGUAGCCUACUGAAACUAGAUGGAAUAACAUCCUUAUAGCCCAAAGCCCAACUGAUUGCUAUCUGUCCCAGCUGUGACACCUGCAGAGCAUUAUAUGGUUAAGCCAUUGAUAACCCAAGAAGAAUCGAAUCCCAUAAGGCCUUGUACAAUGCUAGGUGCUUAGGGAGGUGCUUAGAAAAAUAGACCGGGUUUUUUCGAAGCACCAGUGCCUCUUUCUACAGGAGAGACGCCUAAUUAAGUGUCUACCCUCUAUAAAUAAGCACCAGUGCUUAAAAAAAGACUGGUUUAUUUCUCUAAGCACCUCCCCUAAGCGUCUUGCAUUGUACAAGGUCUAACAGGGGGAUUUUUAAUUCUAGUUCCUAGCAAAUAUUUAGUUCAUAGAAUCUUUCAGUAAUUAUAGAUUUUAUAGAUAUUUUUAGUAAUUCUAUAGCAUUUUUAUAUGUAGUUACAUUUUGUGUAGCUUAAUUCUUUUAUUUGACAAUUUACAGAUAUGUCUGGAAACGACUCCGCUGCAGCCUCUUCUUCGCGGACGAUAAGCGCGGGCGAUGAAGCUGUAGAACCGUCAUCACGUCAUGGUGGCCCAGACGCCUUGGGCACAUACACAGAUGGGCAGGACGACUACACAUCCACUGUUCAUGAUGAGUCCUGCACCGCCGCAAAUCCUGAAGAUGCGACCGAUCGCGACGAAGGGACCGGCCAAGGGGACCAGGCAGCUGGACAACCUAAAAAGCAACGGAAACCUAGGCGCCCAAACAUGCUUAGCACCGAUAGGAUUGUCAUCAACCGAGUGUCUGAGGCGGGUCUACCUCUUAGUCCCAAGAAGGCCGAACAAGGUUACAGUAAUGGCCUAGGCUGCAUCCUUCGCGAAACCGUGAGCAUUAACGAAACCAAUCUCAGGUCGAAAGCCAACGAGAAUUUGCGAGCACUCCUCAUAUCGAAGCUGCACACUCAUUACAAGUUCCCGGAUGAGUCCCUAGACGAGACCACUCCGGUAAAUAACACAGCCCUCUGCAAGUGGACCAAGCUUUUGAGUACAUGGAAAUCCAAAGCCAAAAGCGAAUACCUUGAGAAAGAUUACGAAACCGAGAUAAAAAAGAAGUGGCCUUCGGUUUCUGAGGAGGACUGGAACCUGUUCAAGCAGCACUGCGAGACCCCUGAAGUCAAGGAGAUGGAAAAAUGGGGGAAGGAAAUGCGGGCAAGGAACAUUGGUCACCACACCCUUGGAAGCCGUGGUUACCUAGGGAAGAAGCCGAAGUGGGACAAGCAGGACGCUGAGUUUGCUGCAGCAGGCAUAUCAAACCCCUUCAAGGAAUUUGAAAACCCACGUGAAAAUGAUUACAUCAG
rnacentral:lncRNA from 1 species